UACGUAGGCAGCAAGCGUUGUUCGGAGUUACUGGGCGUAAAGGGGGCGUAGGCGGCUUUUUAAGUUUGGUGUGAAAUCUCCCGGCUCAACUGGGAGGGUGCGCCGAAUACUGAGAGGCUAGAGUGUGGGAGAGGAAAGUGGAAUUCCUGGUGUAGCGGUGAAAUGCGUAGAUAUCAGGAGGAACACCGGUGGUGUAAACGGCUUUCUGGACCAUAACUGACGCUGAUGCACGAAAGCGUGGGUAGCAAACAGG
rnacentral:rRNA from 1 species